rnacentral:rRNA from 1 species
AAGAUACGCUCUCGCGUGCUUAAACAUGCAAGUCGAACGGUGAAGCCCAGCUUGCUGGGUGGAUCAGUGGACAACGGGGGAGUAACACUUGAGUAACCUGCCCCUGACUUUGGGAUAACUCCGGGAAACCGGGGCUAAUACCGGAUAUGAGCUCCUGCCGCAGGGUGGGGGUUGGAAAGAUUUAUCGGUUGGGGAUGGGCUCGCGGCCUAUCAGCUUGUUGGUGGGGUGAUGGCCUACCAAGGCGACGACGGGUAGCCGGCCUGAGAGGGCGACCGGCCACACUGGGACUGAGACACGGCCCAGACUCCUACGGGAGGCACCAGUGGGGAAUAUUGCACAAUGGGCGCAAGCCUGAUGCAGCGACGCCGCGUGAGGGAUGACGGCCUUCGGGUUGUAAACCUCUUUCAGCAGGGAAGAAGCGCAAGUGACGGUACCUGCGGAAGAAGCGCCGGCUAACUACGUGCCAUCAACCGCGGUAAUACGUAGGGCGCCAGCGUUGUCCGGAAUUAUUGGGCGUAAAGAGCUCGUAGGCGGUUUGUCACGUCUGCUGUGAAAUCCCGAGGCUCAACCUCGGGCUUGCAGU